rnacentral:rRNA from 1 species
GAUGAACGCUGGCGGCGUGCCUAAUACAUGCAAGUCGAGCGAACAGACGAGGAGCUUGCUCCUCUGAUGUUAGCGGCGGACGGGUGAGUAACACGUGGAUAACCUACCUAUAAGACUGGGAUAACUUCGGGAAACCGGAGCUAAUACCGGAUAACAUGUUGAACCGCAUGGUUCAACAGUGAAAGACGGUCUUGCUGUCACUUAUAGAUGGAUCCGCGCCGCAUUAGCUAGUUGGUAAGGUAACGGCUUACCAAGGCAACGAUGCGUAGCCGACCUGAGAGGGUGAUCGGCCACACUGGAACUGAGACACGGUCCAGACUCCUACGGGAGGCAGCAGUAGGGAAUCUUCCGCAAUGGGCGAAAGCCUGACGGAGCAACGCCGCGUGAGUGAAGAAGGUCUUCGGAUCGUAAAACUCUGUUAUUAGGGAAGAACAAAUGUGUAAGUAACUAUGCACGUCUUGACGGUACCUGAUCAGAAAGCCACGGCUAACUACGUG